GAUGAACGCUAGCGACAGGCUUAGCACAUGCAAGUCGAGGGGCAGCACGGGAGUAGCAAUACAACUGGUGGCGACCGGCGCACGGGUGAGUAACGCGUAUGCAACCUACCUAUCAGAGGGGAAUAACCCGGCGAAAGUCGGACUAAUACCGCAUAAAACAGGGGCACCGCAUGGUGAUAUUUGUUAAAGAAAUUCGCUGAUAGAUGGGCAUGCGUUCCAUUAGGUAGUUGGUGAGGUAACGGCGCACCAAGCCGACGAUGGAUAGGGGAACUGGGAGGUUGGUCCCCAACACUGGGAAUGAGACACGGACCAGACUCCUACGGGAGGCAGCAGGGAGGAAUAUUGGUCAAUGGGCGGGAGCCUGAACCAGCCAAGUCGCGUGAAGGAAGAAGGAUCUAUGGUUCGUAAACUUCUUUCGCAGGGGAAUAAAGUGCGGGACGUGUCCUGUUUUGUAUGUACCCUGAGAAUAAGGAUCGGCUAACUCCGUGCCAGCCGCCGCCGUAACAC
rnacentral:rRNA from 1 species